UACGAAGGGUGCAAGCGUUACUCGGAAUUACUGGGCGUAAAGCGUGCGUAGGUGGUUUCUUAAGUCUGCUGUGAAAUCUCCGAGCUCAACUCGGAAAUGGCAUUGGAAACUACUUGGCUAGAGGAGUGGAGGGGGGACUGGAAUUCUCGGUGUAGCAGUGAAAUGCGUAGAGAUCGAGAGGAACACCAGUGGCGAAGGCGAGUCCCUGGACACUUCCUGACGCUGAGGCACGAAAGCUAGGGGAGCAAAC
rnacentral:rRNA from 1 species